GGACUCAACUGCAGAUUCAGAUGAUGCUGAGCUGCCACAAAAGGAUUCUUCCACUGGAAACCAGUAUGGAUUUAAGAGCACCUCCUGGACUUUCAAGUCGAAAGAGCUGAUGUUCAAAUCUGCAUCUUCCAUCCCAGAAGGCAGCUUGGUCUAUGUCAGUGAAGGAAAUGAAGCUUUCUUCCGGACUCCCAAGGGAUGGAGCAAGCUUCUGGUACGAUUUGUGAGGAUGCCAAAACAC